AUGACCAAAAAUACUUCUAAUUUUUCCAUCAUUCUUCUGUUUCACUCUAGUCUCAAGAAAAGCUACACAAGGCACAUGGAAGUUCUUGAGAUGGGCUUUUAUCUCAAGAAUCCAAACACGAAGCACGCGGAAUCCAAACGCGGAGCAGAAUUGUUCCACAUUUUCUUCUAUUAUGAAUCAUUCACGAAGUCAAACCAAAUACGAAGCAUAAUCAUUCUGAAUUUCUUCUGUUGUGAAUCGUUCACGAAAUUUCGUUCGAUUCAAUUUGGCGGUGGGAAGAAGGUUUUGAAAGCAUUCCUUAUCAAAACAGUCAAAUAUGGCUACUGA